AUGCUAACAACUGAGAUUCGAAAGUCUGGUCAUAGUACUACCGCACACUAUCCUGCACGAAAGGGAGCCAAGGACAUGACCUCAACCCACCGCAUCCGUCCGGACCAACCUCUUCGGACGUGUUUCACCAACACAGUCCUGCAUUUGUCCGAGAAACAGUUCAGAUGUCCCUUUCCUCGCAAACCAGAAGCAAAUAAGGGGGCCUUUGCGGACGUUCGGACUACUGCCACGAACACGUUCGACACCCCAGACCAACCCAAAAACCUCUUCCGCACUUUCUCCCUUUCUCGUCCAAACCGGCUAGCGCCGCUCUAG
rnacentral:rRNA from 1 species